rnacentral:rRNA from 1 species
AUUGAACGCUGGCGGCAGGCCUAACACAUGCAAGUCGAACGGUAGCACAGAGAGCUUGCUCUCGGGUGACGAGUGGCGGACGGGUGAGUAAUGUCUGGGAAACUGCCCGAUGGAGGGGGAUAACUACUGGAAACGGUAGCUAAUACCGCAUAACGUCGCAAGACCAAAGUGGGGGACCUUCGGGCCUCACACCAUCGGAUGUGCCCAGAUGGGAUUAGCUAGUAGGUGGGGUAAUGGCUCACCUAGGCGACGAUCCCUAGCUGGUCUGGGAGGAUGACCAGCCAAACUGGAACUGAGACACGGUCCAGACUCCUACGGGAGGCAGCAGUGGGGAAUAUUGCACAAUGGGCGCAAGCCUGAUGCAGCCAUGCCGCGUGUAUGAAGAAGGCCUUCGGGUUGUAAAGUACUUUCAGCGGGGAGGAAGGCGGUGAAGUUAAUAGCUUCACCGAUUGACGUUACCCGCAGAAGAAGCACCGGCUAACUCCGUGCCAGCAGCCGCCGCCG